UUGUGACUGUUGCAGAACGUUCAGG
rnacentral:piRNA from 1 species